rnacentral:lncRNA from 1 species
CACCCCACACCCAAAAAAAAAAAAUCUAAGGAGAUUAGAUCUAAAGAGAGAAAAUUAAAGAGAGAGGAAGAGAAGAAGAAAGGUUUUUCUUCUCUUCUUGAUGGUCUGAUUCAGAUCCCGUUAGAUCUGUGCGAAAGAGUUCAGCAACGUUCAUCUUCUUCGAGUUCCAAAAGAGGAUUUAGAUCCAAAGCUGAGGAGCGAGAUCUGCAAGGUGCUAGUAUACCAGUGGCCUCAAUACUCUAAUCAAACAUCUCUGUUGCCCAGUUAUGCAACCCAAGAGGGGGGGGUGAAUUGGGUUUCUAAAAAUUUUAAGCUUAACUUAUGUCUUAUGAAAAAUGUUUGACAAUAGCUAAAUAAAUAGGGAGAGUAAAGUUAAUUCAAGGCUAAUGGCUAAAAGCAAGAAUGCAAGAGAAUAAUGAAGAGUUAAAGAAGAAUAAUUAGGCACAACACAAACAAAAAGAUUUAUAGUGGUUCGGUGCCAACCUUGCACCUACAUCCACUCCCCAAGCUCCUACUUGAGAAUUUCAAUCCACU